GAAUGUGAUGUUGGAAGUUCUAAAGCUGUGGUGAAUGGCUUGGCACCUGGCAGCCAUGGACCAGACAAAGCCGACCCUUUGCGUGCUCGCACUAUAUCUGCUGUUAAAAUAAUUCCCGUGAAGACAGUGAAAAGCCCUUCAGGCCUAGUACUCCCUCCAGUUCAGGAGUAUUGACCAACGAGAGAUGCAAGGAGUCGCCUUUCUCUUCGGAACAUUCCCCGAUGGCCACGUUGCUCGCUUGCUAUUUUUCGUGAGAAGGACAUGGACCCUACAAAAAUCUGCACAGGGAAAGGGACAGUGACCCUUCGGGCCUCGUCUUCC
rnacentral:lncRNA from 1 species